GACGAACGCUAGCGUUGUGCUUAACACAUGCAAGUCGAGCGGAAAGGCCCUUCGGGGUACUCGAGCGGCGAACGGGUGAGUAACACGUGAGCAACCUGCCCCAGGCUUUGGGAUAACCCCGGGAAACCGGGGCUAAUACCGAAUAUGACCUUGCACCGCAUGGUGUUUGGUGGAAAGUUUUUCGGCUUGGGAUGGGCUCGCGGCCUAUCAGCUUGUUGGUGGGGUGAUGGCCUACCAAGGCGACGACGGGUAGCCGGCCUGAGAGGGCGACCGGCCACACUGGGACUGAGACACGGCCCAGACUCCUACGGGAGGCAGCAGUGGGGAAUAUUGCACAAUGGGCGGAAGCCUGAUGCAGCGACGCCGCGUGAGGGAUGACGGCCUUCGGGUUGUAAACCUCUUUCAGCAGGGACGAAGCGUAAGUGACGGUACCUGCAGAAGAAGCGCCGGCCAACUACGUGCCAGCAGCCGCGGUAAGACGUAGGGCGCGAGCGUUGUCCGGAUUUAUUGGGCGUAAAGAGCUCGUAGGCAGCUUGUCGCGUCGACCGUGAAAACCUGGGGCUCAACCCCAGGCCUGCGGUCGAUACGGGCAGGCUAGAGUUC
rnacentral:rRNA from 1 species